GCUGAUGUGGCUCAGUCGGUAGAGCGUCGCCUUGGUAAGGCGGAGGUCACCAGUUCGAUUCUGGUCAUCAGCU
rnacentral:tRNA from 1 species